rnacentral:lncRNA from 1 species
GCUGAUGCUGCUGGUUCCUGAGUCACAGGUUUCUUGAGAGACUAAACAUACAAAUGGACAAUGGCCAGACCAUGUGUAACAAUAAAACUCCGAUGGACAAUCUCUGGCAGCCAGCCCAGAACGAUCAGGACUUGUUCAAUGACUGCGAGCUAGCUUCCCCCUUUUUUAACCCUCUUACCUGCUUCCAACUCAAGACUAACAACAGAAUGCCAAAGACACUGCUCCCCAAAGCAAUUACGUAAGAUGCCUCACUGCUUGUUAGUGCACCUCCUGCUUCAAUGUGCCAACAACCUCCAAUCAGAAGAUAGCAGAAGCCUUCUUUUCCCCGCUUAUAAAGCUUUUUUACUCCCCUGCCUGUCUUUGAGACUUUGCUAAAUUCCAAGGAUGGUGGCUGAUCCUCUUGCUUU